CACCUCUCAAAUGUCACCAUUUGACGUUGGGCGGUGCCGGAAAGGCACGCCUCAAAAUCAGUGACGGUCACCAGUCGGACCCAGGCGUACAAGUAUCGCGAUAGGGGAUGAUGGGGGCCGAUCUUGAAUAAUGAAAUCUGAA
rnacentral:misc_RNA from 1 species